rnacentral:rRNA from 1 species
AGAUUGAACGCUGGCGGCAGGCCUAACACAUGCAAGUCGAGCGGCAGCACGGGUACUUGUACCUGGUGGCGAGCGGCGGACGGGUGAGUAAUGCCUAGGAAUCUGCCUGAUAGUGGGGGAUAACGUUCGGAAACGGACGCUAAUACCGCAUACGUCCUACGGGAGAAAGUGGGGGAUCUUCGGACCUCACGCUAUCAGAUGAGCCUAGGUCGGAUUAGCUAGUUGUAGGGUAAAGGCCUACCAAGGCUACGAUCCGUAACUGGUCUGAGAGGAUGAUCAGUCACACUGGAACUGAGACACGGUCCAGACUCCUACGGGAGGCAGCAGUGGGGAAUAUUGGACAAUGGGCGAAAGCCUGAUCCGAGCCAUGCCGCGUGUGUGAAGAAGGUCUUCGGAUUUGAAAGCACUUUAAGUGGGAGAAGGUUGUAACCGUAAUACGUUGCUAACUUUGACGUUACCGACAGAAUAAGCACCGGCUAAACGUUCGAGUCCAGACAGCCGCGGUAA